rnacentral:misc_RNA from 1 species
CCUUAGUCGCGCAAUACCACGGGGAUUCCCCAUCUUGUCACGCCGCUUUUAAAAGCUUGCAGGCUUAUAACAGUUGUGUUGGGGCCGUGGGAAGGAUAACAAAGAUCGGCACAUCUCAGGGAGACAGAAAAAUAUAUAAUUGGAGACUAACUGGAUCAAUAAAGAGUGAUAAAAAUGGCGUCCCUGGAACUACAGAGGCACAACCAGACAGUACUUGACAACUUGGAACCUGGUGAUAGGUUGCAGUUUAAGCGAGGAGUGUACGAUCACUGGGCUGUGUACGUCGGUAACAAGGAAGUCGUGCACUUGUCUGGAGUCGAUGGUCCAAUGGGAAGUAACCUGAAUCACUCAUGCACAAUAAGUGGAGUAGAGUUUGAUAAAGGAAUUAUUCGCAAAGAUGCGUUUUGGGACGUUGUUGGAGACAGCAAAGUGUACAAAAACAACUCAAAGGACAAGAAAUUAAAACACUUGGAACCAUCUAAGACAGUACAAAGAGCAUGAUCCAAACUUGGAGAAGUUGGAUAUAACAUACUUUUUAAGAACUGUGAACACUUCGCUUCAUGGUGCCGGUAUGACAAAGAAGAAAGUGAUCAGGCUGAUGGUCUGUUCACUGCACUAGCGGUUGGUGGGGCCGCUGCGGUGGUGGGAUUGGCUGUCUGGCUUGGAAGUGAUGGAAAGAAAGAAAGAGAAAAGAAGUCAGAAUAUUGAUGUCAUCAAUUUCCACCAUAACACAGUUGCGAGUGAAACAGAAUACAUCGAUCAUGGAUUGAUCAGACGAAUGCACCAUAUCUGACAACAGAGAGGUUUGCUGCAUUCCACAACAUUCCUCACCAAUUCGUACCAUUCCGUGACAAGCCUAAUAUUCAUGCCUGAGUCAUGCUCCUGUUCAUUCAGCCUUUCGAAGGAUUCCAUAUCAGCAAUUCCGUGACUACUGUCAUCACCAUGUUCAAAACAAGUAAUUUCUGGCUUCAUCAGUUGAGGGCGCAAUAUUUGCUUUAUAUAUAUAUAUAUAUAUAUAUAUAUAUAUAUAUAUAUAUAUGUAUCAUUUAUGUACCUGGGAAAAUGUGCUAUUGAUCAUUCAGACACAGAUCAUAAUGCUGUUGAAACAAUUUUACUUAGAUGUAAAAGUUCAGUUUGAUGUUAAAGGAUUAAUACAAGGAUACUCUUAUUUUGUUAUUUCAUUUGUCACUGUUCGUUUGUUGUUUAACGCUGCACUCCGGAUGUGAUGUGGACACAUGCCAUCGUAUCCCAAUUGCGUAGACUGAUGCUCAUGAUGUUGAUCACUGGAUUAUCUGGUAUCUGUCACUACCAGAACAACUCGUGAAGAUCAAGAAUUGGUAUUCAGAAAACAAAGUUUGUCAUAAGAGGCGACAAACAUCAUCGAUUGCUUAUGCUAUAUGUCUUUAUUUAUACUGUAUUUCAUUUGCACAGAUCAAUUCUCAUGAUAUCGGUCACUGGAUUGUCUGAUCCAGACUCAAUUUUUUGACAGACCGAUUGAAUCGAGCUGUUUAUAUUAAUCAGUGUUAAACAGCAAAGAAACAGACAACAAAUAAAAAUCACUAUAUAUACAAA